rnacentral:rRNA from 1 species
AGUGAACGCUGGCGGUAGGCCCAACACAUGCAAGUCGAACGGCAGCACAGUAAGAGCUUGCUCUUACGGGUGGCGAGUGGCGGACGGGUGAGGAAUACAUCGGAAUCUACUUUUUCGUGGGGGAUAACGUAGGGAAACUUACGCUAAUACCGCAUACGACCUACGGGUGAAAGCAGGGGAUCUUCGGACCUUGCGCGAUUGAAUGAGCCGAUGUCGGAUUAGCUAGUUGGCGGGGUAAAGGCCCACCAAGGCGACGAUCCGUAGCUGGUCUGAGAGGAUGAUCAGCCACACUGGAACUGAGACACGGACCAGACUCCUGAGGGAGGCAGCAGUGUGGAAUAUUGGACAAUGGGCGCAAGCCUGAUCCAGCCAUACCGCGUGGGUGAAGAAGGCCUUCGGGUUGUAAAGCCCUCUUGUUGGGAAAGAAAAGCAGCAGGUUAAUCCCCCGCUGUUCUGACGGUACCCAAAUAAUAAGCACCGGCUAACUUCGUG